rnacentral:rRNA from 1 species
GACGAACGCUGGCGGCGUGCUUAACACAUGCAAGUCGAACGGAAAGGCCCUGCUUUUGUGGGGUGCUCGAGUGGCGAACGGGUGAGUAACACGUGAGUAACCUGCCCUUGACUUUGGGAUAACUUCAGGAAACUGGGGCUAAUACCGGAUAGGAGCUCCUGCUGCAUGGUGGGGGUUGGAAAGUUUCGGCGGUUGGGGAUGGACUCGCGGCUUAUCAGCUUGUUGGUGGGGUAGUGGCUUACCAAGGCUUUGACGGGUAGCCGGCCUGAGAGGGUGACCGGCCACAAUGGGACUGAGAGACGGCGCAGUCGGCUACGGGAGGCAACGGGGGGAAGUCUUGCACAAUGGGCGGGAGCCUGAUGCGACGACGCCGCGUGCGGGAUGACGGCCUUCGGGUUGUGAACAGCUUUCGCCUGAGACGAAGCGUGAGUGACGGUAAUGGAUAAAGAAGCACCGGCUAACUACGUG